ensembl:snRNA U6 U6 spliceosomal RNA
GUCCAUGGGGUCACAAAGAGUUGGACACGACUGAGUGACUGAACUGAACAGAGAUCAGCAAGGCCCCUUCCCAAAGAUGACAUACAAAUUCAUGAAGCAUUCCAUAUUUUU